CAGUCGCCGCGGUAAUACGGAGGGAGCUAGCGUUGUUCGGAAUUACUGGGCGUAAAGCGCACGUAGGCGGCUUUGUAAGUCAGAGGUGAAAGCCUGGAGCUCAACUCCAGAACUGCCUUUGAGACUGCAUCGCUCGAAUCCGGGAGAGGUGAGUGGAAUUCCGAGUGUAGAGGUGAAAUUCGUAGAUAUUCGGAAGAACACCAGUGGCGAAGGCGGCUCACUGGACCGGUAUUGACGCUGAGGUGCGAAAGCGUGGGGAGCAAACAGGAUUAGAUACCCCUGUAGUCCCUGUCUCUUAUAC
rnacentral:rRNA from 1 species